rnacentral:rRNA from 1 species
GAUGAACGCUGGCGGCGUGCAUAACACAUUCAAGUCGAACGGACAUAUGUUUUCGGAUAUAUGUUAGGCGGACGGGUGAGUAACGCGUGAGCAACCUGCCUGUGUGGGUGGAAUAACAUCGGGAAACUGAUGCUAAUACCGCAUAAAGCAUAAUUGUCGCAUGACAGAUAUGCCAAAGAUUUAUCGCACACAGAUGGGCUCGCGUCCGAUUAGGCAGUUGGUGAGGUAAUGGCUCACCAAACCAACGAUCGGUAGCCGGACUGAGAGGUUGAACGGCCACAUUGGAACUGAGAAACGGUCCAGACUCCUACGGGAGGCAGCAGUGGGGAAUAUUGGGCAAUGGGCGAAAGCCUGACCCAGCGACGCCGCGUGAGGGAAGACGGUCUUCGGAUUGUAAACCUCUUUCAGCAGGGAAGAAGAAGUGACGGUACCUGCAGAAGAAGCCACGGCUAACUACGUGCCAGCCGCCGCGGUAAAAC